rnacentral:misc_RNA from 1 species
GUGAAUCAUCGAAUUUUUGAACGCAAAUUGCACUCUCUGGUAUUCCGGAGAGUAUGCCUGUUUGAGGGUCAGUUAAAAUAAAAAGCGGUGUGGUGGCUGCGUUGCGUGGUGACGCACCGGAUGUGGGUCGACUUGCAUUCGGUUAAGUGACCUAAAAUUUUGCAUGAUUGUUGUCGAACGUAGUUAAAUGAGUCUACGUACGUUUGCGAUAUAAAAUACU